rnacentral:rRNA from 1 species
UACGGAGGGUGCAAACGUUGCUCGGAAUCAUUGGGCGUAAAGCGCACGUAGGCGGUCUGUUAAGUCGGGUGUGAAAGCCCUGGGCUCAACCCAGGAAGUGCACUCGAAACUGGCGGGCUUGAAUAUGGAAGAGGGUCGCGGAAUUCCCGGUGUAGAGGUGAAAUUCGUAGAUAUCGGGAGGAACACCAGCGGCGAAGGCGGCAUCCUGGACUGGUACUGACGCUCAUGAGCGAAAGCGUGGGGAGCGAUCCGG